rnacentral:lncRNA from 1 species
GUUCAUAAGACAAAGAGCAGCUAUAGAGACACCAUCUUCGUUCUUGGUCAAGUACUUGCAAACCGGACCAAGCCCGUAAAUCCUCUCGACGCUGUCUCCGCCGGGAAUGGUUCGGUUGGAGCAGGUGAGGAUGGAGUAAGACGUGAGAAGACGGAGGAUUCGGUCGAGCAUGACCGGAGCUUCGGGGUUUUUGGUCUGAAGUUUAGAAGCAAUCUCAGAUGGAGACAUCGGAGAAGAGUUCUUGGCCAUGAUCUCGAGAAGAUCAAGGUCUAAGGCGGACUUUAAAACCAUGGGAAGAACGGAGGCGCUGGCUAGCUGCAUGGCAAAGAGAGCGGCUUCGUCGUCGGUGACUUGUACCGGAGUUAUCUGUGUCUCCGCCGUUGAUCCCAUUUUUCUUGGAUUCUCUAAGAUAUUCUUGGGAUGUUUCUUUUUCUUUUGUUUCUUUGUUUUGAGAGGAGUGUGUGAUGGGUGAGAAGUAGGACGUUAAGAGGUUUAUUUAUAUGAAAAUAUAUUAUAAGAAGGUAGACAAGUGGCAUUUUUUUUUAACUCAAGUUUCUGAUCUAGCUUAAUUACAUGGUCCAAUUGAAUGAAAACAAUUCAGAACUUUUUUGUAUUUUAUAAGAGAGCCCGCUAUUUGUGAAGUAUUUCAUUUACGAUCCCUUCUACAGAAACAACUACACUUUAUUAUGUGCAUAUAUUUCAUCCAUACCCUUUAAACAUUGGAAAUGGUGAUUCAUUAUGCUGGCCCAUACCGACUUUAACGUAUUUUGUUAUAUUGAAUAUGUUAAACUUUCUAUAAAUUUCGGUAGCAGUAACUAGUCUUCCAUUUUUAGCGAGGACUUUAGCGAGUACUUGACAAUUCUAUGUACUGCUAACUUUUGUUUUUAACAAAGCAGAUUAUAUCUAAAAUUAAUCAUAACUUUUUUAAAGUUUGCAUCACUCUUACAUUUAUUAUUCUUACUAAAAAAACUGCGUCAAAUUUUUUCUUAAGUGUUAAUAAGUCAUAUAUAACCUAUAAGCUCACCAUCAAUUUUUUUUCUAUAGCAUAUCAGAUUUUGUCUACUAAAAACUUAAAAAGAAAUUUGUCAUCAAAGUUUUCUAACAAAAAAAAAAGAAUAUAUCCUAAGUUUGAUUUAAAACCGAUGAUAAAUUCAUAAUUGGUUUUAGAUUUUCAAUGUUUAACUGUUUAGCUUAAUUAAUAACAGUUAUACAAAAUAGAUUUAUAAAUAAAACAAAAAACUGUUAAACUAUAAAAAUCAAGAUACAAAAAAUGAAUGAGUAGAUGCGUUAAGGGGAAAAUGAAAAUAUGUUAACUACUAAUUAAGAAUGUGUGGAUUUUAUGUAUCAUGAAAACUAUAGAAAAUAAAUUUAUUAAUGAUCUUAACCAGAAACUAAUACACUAAAAACUAUUAAUUGAAAACUAUCUUAGAAUUAUAAACCGUUCAGAAAGAAAAAAAGGACCACUUUAAAAUUAGAUACAUCAAUAAAUAAAUAAGAAAAUCGCAUAAAAAAACUUUGAAAAUGUUAGUUACUAACACUUUAAACUUUGAAAUUUUUUCAUUAAUACUUUUAACUUUCAAAAUGACAUUUAUAUCACAAAAACUUCCAAAGUAAAAAAUUGACCUCUUGAACAAGUAAAAAAAUGAUGUCAGUUUUUUUUAAAAUAAUUAUUUAAUUAAUAAGACUAACAAAAAACUAAAUAAAAACCAGAAAAUUAAAUAAAAAUAGAAAAGUAAUAAACCUUAUAAAAUAAAUAAAAAUUCAGAAAAUAAAUUAAAUAUUAGAAAAUUAAAAAAAAAAAAAUCAUAAAUUUUAAAAUAAAUUUGAAAAUUCAAAAGUUUGAAUAAAAAAGUUUGUUUCCAUUUUCAACAGUGAUGUCGAAAAUAAUUAUUGGAGAUAUGCAAAAAAUAGUCAUUGUUAAUGGUUAUAUGAGAAACUAUCAAUGUCACUAGUGAUAUAUUUGGAAAUUUUAUUUUCACGAUGAUAUGGUAUAUUUUUUUAAAAAAAAUCUUAUAAUUAAAAAACUAUUUUAAUUUUUGAAUUUUCUAAAUUUUAUAAUUUUUUUGAAAUUUAUGAAUUUUUAUUUAGUUAUUCUGUAUUUUAAUUUUAUUUUAUUUAUUAUGGAAUUUUUAGUUAUUUUAUUUUUCUUUAAUUUUAAAUAUUUAUUUAGUUUUCCGAAAUUUUAUUUAUUUUUUUUAGUUUUCGGAAUUUUAUUAAAUUGUUCGAUUUUUAAUUUUUUGAAUUUUUAUUUAAUUUUUUUGUUUAUUUUAUUUAUUAAAUCAUUAUUUUGAAAAAAAAACUUACACAUCAUUUUUUACAUGUUCAACAGGUCAAUUUUUUACUUUAGAGAUUUUUAUGAUAUAAAUGUCAUUUUGAAAAUUAAAAGCAAAGUUUUUAAAUCUGACCCGGACACUGAACCAGACGACUUACCGGAUUGUUGGGUUACUAGGUCGACCACGGGUGAACCGCGGAUUAAUAAAUAAAUAAAAUUUAUUAUAUAAUAAUAUAUUAGGUAUGUAAAUAUAAAUAUAGAAACUAAAUUUUAAUAUUUUCUAAAAAAAAAUUAAAACAUAAAAUAAUAGUUUGGAUAUGUAUAUAUUUUAUGUUUAAAAACUUUUAGAAAAUACUUAAAUUUUCUUUUAUAUUUUUAUUUUCAUUUGACAUACAAAAUAUCAAAAAGUAGUUUAGACUAUUUAAAAAUUUCUCCAACAAAGUAAGAUUUACGACAUUUAAAAAAAUCAAGACAUAAAAUUUAUAAAUAUUUAAAUAUCUAAUUGAAUAAUAAAUUAAACUUCAAAUACAAAAUAAACCAAAAGUAAAAGAUCAUUGUAAUAAAAUGUCAAUACCGCUUCUGUGUCUGUUAUAGAGAUAUAUUUAUGGUUUUUUGGUAUAAAAUCGAAUAAACCGAAAACCGACGGUAUAUAAACCGAACCGAACCGAAGUAAAUAUGGAUUUAGAAUGGUAGUUAUAUUUUACUAACCAAAAUACCGAAAACCGAAAAAAACCGAACCUAAACCGAACCGAUAUCCGGAUUGAACACCCCUAUAAUAUAUAAGGGAUUAUUAAACAUCAUAGUUUUAAAACAAAGACGGUGAAGUAGACGUACAUAAGAGCAUUGUUUACAUAUAAAAUCAUUAUUACAUGGAUUGUGCGUGUGUGUUUUACAUCUUUUUGAGCAGCUCAAUAACGUAAACACCAAAAGCAUUGCAGGCAACAUUGAUGCCUUUGAAGCCUGAUCCUUUAGCUAAUGCCUCGAACUCUUUCUCGGUCCGUUCUUUGCCUCCAGGGUUAUGAGCCAACAUAAUGCAAUCAACAUGGACUACUUGUUUGGUCGAGAGGCUUGAGUCUGGUGUCUCUGGAAGUAUACACUCUGCUAGUAUCACUUUUCCAUCCUCUGGAAGCGCCUCGUAGCAGUUCUUCAAGAAUUUCACGCAGUGUUCAUCGCUCCAGUCGUGGCAUAUCCACUGUUACAACAAUGAAACAAAUCAAAACGUUUUGAGAUUUAAUUUCCUUGAUUAAUUACUUAUAAAUGUCAAAAGAGUUUUCGGUAUAGGAGCUUUGGUUAUUACUAACCUUCAUGAAAAUAGCAUCACCUUUAGGGACGCUUACAAACAUAUCUCCUCCAACAUGAUCAAUACCUGUAUUAAAUUUAACAAUUAAUCAAAUCUCUUAAUCAUAUGUAAAUGAAAUCAUAUAUAGUAUUGUGAAAUGUUAGGAAAAUGUAAUAUACCGGGAUGAGAAGUAGCUUCUUCAAUGACAUGUGGGAGAUCAAAGUUGAUGCCUUUAAGGUCAGGGUACUUAGAGACGAUCAUUUUGAGAGUAGCACCAAUGCCACCACCAACGUCAACCAAAGAAGUCAAACCCUCAAAACCCUUGUAGGUCUCGAGAAUCUUCUUCAUUGUGAUGGUUGAAUGGUUAGACAUUCCAUUGUUGAAGACCGUGUUGAACCUUAGAUCCUUCCCGUGGUACUCAAAAGCGCUCAUUCCAUAAGCCUUGUUGAAUGGAAUCCCACCAUCAAGAACUGCAUCUUUCAAAUGGUACCUGAAACAAGUAUCGUUGGUAUGAGUUUAAGAAAACACACACAUUCACACAAAGCUUAAUCUAACCGUUUUUAUUUAUCACUAGUUAGGAUAUUUUUUUUAUAAAUUGAUCUCCAGAUAAUCUAUUGAUCAGACUUGAUCCACCUGAGGUUGAUUAUAAUUGGUUAUCAUGAUAGAGCUGCCGGUAUGCAAAGAGAACCAGCCGGUUUGAAAUUAUGUUUCUAUAUUCCUUUGCUAGCUGCUAAAUAAUCGGAAGACCGGUUCUCUUCUUAUUAUAGUUUCCUUAAAUGAUCCUCAAUAAAGGGAAGAACAAUUACAUCUUCUCUAUUUAGAACCAUGAAACACGUUGACAAGAAAAUGAAACACAAAAUAAAAUAAUAAUAAUAGAGUGUUUUCUGCAAAAAAAAAACCUCUACAUUGAAUACAACAAAAAUAUUUAAAGCUAUGAAACAACUAGAGUACAGAGUGUGUUUUUUAAUUUUCCUCUUAUUAUUUUGUAUAGUACUAGCAAACAAAAAUUUCAACGAUAGAGCUCGCUUAACCACUAAAAAUGUUAUAUAGUUUUUUAGUGGAAGCAGAUAUAGAAAACGUGUCAACGCAUCAUUUUGUCUGAUUGUCUAUGACACUUUGUGGCCGAGUCUCUCUCAUCUUUACCUUUGCACAAUUCAAUUUUAAUCAUCACAUGAUUCACAUCAACCAAGAACCAUAGCUUAUGAAACAAAAUUAUCAAAGAAGAAGCUUUUUUUUUCUAACUUGAUAUAGCCACAAGAUCUAUCCAAUGAAGAUGUCUUGGUAAUAUCUUAAAAAACUUACCAGCUUUCCAUGAGAACCUUGUCUUGGUUCAUAAGACAAAGAGCAGCUAUAGAGACACCAUCUUCGUUCUUGGUCAAGUACUUGCAAACCGGACCAAGCCCGUAAAUCCUCUCGACGCUGUCUCCGCCGGGAAUGGUUCGGUUGGAGCAGGUGAGGAUGGAGUAAGACGUGAGAAGACGGAGGAUUCGGUCGAGCAUGACCGGAGCUUCGGGGUUUUUGGUCUGAAGUUUAGAAGCAAUCUCAGAUGGAGACAUCGGAGAAGAGUUCUUGGCCAUGAUCUCGAGAAGAUCAAGGUCUAAGGCGGACUUUAAAACCAUGGGAAGAACGGAGGCGCUGGCUAGCUGCAUGGCAAAGAGAGCGGCUUCGUCGUCGGUGACUUGUACCGGAGUUAUCUGUGUCUCCGCCGUUGAUCCCAUUUUUCUUGGAUUCUCUAAGAUAUUCUUGGGAUGUUUCUUUUUCUUUUGUUUCUUUGUUUUGAGAGGAGUGUGUGAUGGGUGAGAAGUAGGACGUUAAGAGGUUUAUUUAUAUGAAAAUAUAUUAUAAGAAGGUAGACAAGUGGCAUUUUUUUUUAACUCAAGUUUCUGAUCUAGCUUAAUUACAUGGUCCAAUUGAAUGAAAACAAUUCAGAACUUUUUUGUAUUUUAUAAGAGAGCCCGCUAUUUGUGAAGUAUUUCAUUUACGAUCCCUUCUACAGAAACAACUACACUUUAUUAUGUGCAUAUAUUUCAUCCAUACCCUUUAAACAUUGGAAAUGGUGAUUCAUUAUGCUGGCCCAUACCGACUUUAACGUAUUUUGUUAUAUUGAAUAUGUUAAACUUUCUAUAAAUUUCGGUAGCAGUAACUAGUCUUCCAUUUUUAGCGAGGACUUUAGCGAGUACUUGACAAUUCUAUGUACUGCUAACUUUUGUUUUUAACAAAGCAGAUUAUAUCUAAAAUUAAUCAUAACUUUUUUAAAGUUUGCAUCACUCUUACAUUUAUUAUUCUUACUAAAAAAACUGCGUCAAAUUUUUUCUUAAGUGUUAAUAAGUCAUAUAUAACCUAUAAGCUCACCAUCAAUUUUUUUUCUAUAGCAUAUCAGAUUUUGUCUACUAAAAACUUAAAAAGAAAUUUGUCAUCAAAGUUUUCUAACAAAAAAAAAAGAAUAUAUCCUAAGUUUGAUUUAAAACCGAUGAUAAAUUCAUAAUUGGUUUUAGAUUUUCAAUGUUUAACUGUUUAGCUUAAUUAAUAACAGUUAUACAAAAUAGAUUUAUAAAUAAAACAAAAAACUGUUAAACUAUAAAAAUCAAGAUACAAAAAAUGAAUGAGUAGAUGCGUUAAGGGGAAAAUGAAAAUAUGUUAACUACUAAUUAAGAAUGUGUGGAUUUUAUGUAUCAUGAAAACUAUAGAAAAUAAAUUUAUUAAUGAUCUUAACCAGAAACUAAUACACUAAAAACUAUUAAUUGAAAACUAUCUUAGAAUUAUAAACCGUUCAGAAAGAAAAAAAGGACCACUUUAAAAUUAGAUACAUCAAUAAAUAAAUAAGAAAAUCGCAUAAAAAAACUUUGAAAAUGUUAGUUACUAACACUUUAAACUUUGAAAUUUUUUCAUUAAUACUUUUAACUUUCAAAAUGACAUUUAUAUCACAAAAACUUCCAAAGUAAAAAAUUGACCUCUUGAACAAGUAAAAAAAUGAUGUCAGUUUUUUUUAAAAUAAUUAUUUAAUUAAUAAGACUAACAAAAAACUAAAUAAAAACCAGAAAAUUAAAUAAAAAUAGAAAAGUAAUAAACCUUAUAAAAUAAAUAAAAAUUCAGAAAAUAAAUUAAAUAUUAGAAAAUUAAAAAAAAAAAAAUCAUAAAUUUUAAAAUAAAUUUGAAAAUUCAAAAGUUUGAAUAAAAAAGUUUGUUUCCAUUUUCAACAGUGAUGUCGAAAAUAAUUAUUGGAGAUAUGCAAAAAAUAGUCAUUGUUAAUGGUUAUAUGAGAAACUAUCAAUGUCACUAGUGAUAUAUUUGGAAAUUUUAUUUUCACGAUGAUAUGGUAUAUUUUUUUAAAAAAAAUCUUAUAAUUAAAAAACUAUUUUAAUUUUUGAAUUUUCUAAAUUUUAUAAUUUUUUUGAAAUUUAUGAAUUUUUAUUUAGUUAUUCUGUAUUUUAAUUUUAUUUUAUUUAUUAUGGAAUUUUUAGUUAUUUUAUUUUUCUUUAAUUUUAAAUAUUUAUUUAGUUUUCCGAAAUUUUAUUUAUUUUUUUUAGUUUUCGGAAUUUUAUUAAAUUGUUCGAUUUUUAAUUUUUUGAAUUUUUAUUUAAUUUUUUUGUUUAUUUUAUUUAUUAAAUCAUUAUUUUGAAAAAAAAACUUACACAUCAUUUUUUACAUGUUCAACAGGUCAAUUUUUUACUUUAGAGAUUUUUAUGAUAUAAAUGUCAUUUUGAAAAUUAAAAGCAAAGUUUUUAAAUCUGACCCGGACACUGAACCAGACGACUUACCGGAUUGUUGGGUUACUAGGUCGACCACGGGUGAACCGCGGAUUAAUAAAUAAAUAAAAUUUAUUAUAUAAUAAUAUAUUAGGUAUGUAAAUAUAAAUAUAGAAACUAAAUUUUAAUAUUUUCUAAAAAAAAAUUAAAACAUAAAAUAAUAGUUUGGAUAUGUAUAUAUUUUAUGUUUAAAAACUUUUAGAAAAUACUUAAAUUUUCUUUUAUAUUUUUAUUUUCAUUUGACAUACAAAAUAUCAAAAAGUAGUUUAGACUAUUUAAAAAUUUCUCCAACAAAGUAAGAUUUACGACAUUUAAAAAAAUCAAGACAUAAAAUUUAUAAAUAUUUAAAUAUCUAAUUGAAUAAUAAAUUAAACUUCAAAUACAAAAUAAACCAAAAGUAAAAGAUCAUUGUAAUAAAAUGUCAAUACCGAAAAUAAGCUAACACCAAAUCACAUCAACUAAUUUUGGUUCUCUCUACCAUCGUUCACUUCAUUUUCUUCAGGUGGCAUAGUGAAAUUGAAAUCUUCAUCAAAAUCUAAAAAUCACAAAUUUAAAACUGAAAAAGGAAAACCUAACUUUUUUUUUGUGAGCACCUAACUUCUUAAUUGUAAACUUAAAAUAUAAAACAUAUUCUAAAAACUUAAUUUAAAACUUAAAAAAAUGAAGUCAAAUUUUUUAUUAGUUCGACCGGUGGUUCAACCGGUAUCGGGUUCUGAGUUUUACUGGGUUUUUGCAGGUUUUUAUAAAACCCAAACCGGAUUUUUUGGGUCACCGAGUUUACCGGUUCAACCGCAGAUCGGGAUUAGGUUUUAAAACACUGGUUAAAAAUAUUACUGAAAAAACUUUAAAGUUUAAAAUGUGAGUAAAUUACAUUUUUAACGUUUUUUAUGCGAUUUUCUCAUAAAUAAACUCAUAAAAGGAAAAAUGAACGAGGCUCGACACUUGAGAAGACUAUACAAAUGUAAGUGGGACAGAUGGUAUGGUGGGUAGAGCCGACACGCCAUUUCUAAUUAAUUGCAACCCACUUUUGCUUAAUAUCGUAUCAUUUUAUUCAACGCUAAAUCAUUUCAUCGACAUUUUGCUUUCAUAGAAUGUUUAGAAACAAUGGAUUGGAAAGUUUAACCUAAUACAUUGAAUUAAUUUACAUUAAUAAAUAUAUAAUUAUUUAUGAAAAAGUUCGGUACAAGAUUCUUCUUCUCAGUUGUGAACUACGUAGUAUUUUAGCUAGGGAUGGUCACAAACAUUUGUCUCGUCAUAUUUUGUUGUUUUCAACCAAUUUCGAUCCAAAAUUCUUGUUUCAUAUAAAAAUUCAUUUUCAAAAUAUAGCAAGAUGAUAUGUAUUACAUAUUUAUUUGAGAAAAAAACUUUGAGAAUAUCAUCUUGCUAUAUUUUGAACUGGGUAAGUAUUUUUAUAACAAAAAUAUCAAAGAUAAUUCAUUCUAAAUAUCGGUUACAAUUAAAAAUGCCGUUGCAAGUAAUAAUUUGUUUGUUGCAAAAAAAGUAAUAAUUUGUUAAUUAUUUAAGUUGUAGCUGGUUGUAUAUGUCCUCAAUUUUUUUUGACCGAAUUGUUUUUUUUAUAUUCAUUCACACCAACCACACCAACCAUUCUCACCUACUCCUUUGAAUUGAAAUGGAUAUAGGACCACCAGUCUCUGACGUACAUGUAUUAUGUUCGCUUAUUAUUAGAUAUGUUUUCUCAAAUUGGUAAUUUCAUUCAUUUAAUUAGAAAAUCGUGUUAUAUAUAAACGGGUUAAAUAGUAGAAUUUUUUUUAAUUAAACAUUUAAAUAUGAUAUAUGUCUAUUGAAAUUGAUAGUGUUUUUCUAAUCAGUUGUUAGCUUUGUUUUCCAAAGAACACUUUGUUUUAUAUUAAAAAGGUCAAAAGUAUAGCAUAUUUUUAUAUAAAACCCAUCGUACUAUUAAAAUCCUCCAAAGGAUAUGAACAGCUUCACACUGAGAUAAUUUAGGUUAAAUCUGUGUGAGAAACCAGUUCUAAAUUAUGAUUGGAUCAUAAAUAAUGUUUGAUAUCGGUUUAAUGAAAUUAAUAUACUUUUUAUUAUUAUUUUAAUUAAUUAAUGUGAAAUUAUAAAUUUGUAUCAAUUAUCUCAAUUUUUUAGAAAUUAUAAAUUUGUAUCAAUUAUCUCAAUUCAGAAAUUAUAAAACAUUUAGUCAAAAUGAGUCUAUAAUAGCAAUUUGGAAAGAAACAAAAAUCAGAUAUCUUAAUUUUAAAGUUCUAUUUAAAAUAAAAAGAAGAAUCCAAAGUCCUACCUACUACCGUGUUAGUGAUACGUCAUGAUCAAAGAACGUUCAUUUGUAUCAAUUAAAGGAUAAUAAAACAGUGUUAUCGAUGUAAUCUUUUACCUUUUUGGCACCUAAAUGAAUUGUAAGUAAAAUAAAUGGAAACACGAAAUGAGGUGUUCAUCCUCUUUUCUUUUUUUUUGAGUUGUAGAUCCUUUUGGUUGGUUGUUCGACAUGAAACUUAUACAACUAAUGACUCAGAACUUUUGGUAUCCCGUAUCCGUGAAUAGAAAUAAGUGUACGAGCAAACGUAUUUAUAUAUACUUGUAUGGGUUCUUUUGGUAAUGAUCAAUGUUAAGAACUUGUAUGAUUUUUAUUUUCUCUAAGCUCGUUUUAAUUUCUUCGUUGAUUUUGACAUUUUUGAACGAACUUAAACUUACGAAAAAUAUUGUUUGAAUAAUAAAAGAAAUUCUCAGGUUUAUAGAAAUUAAUACCAAAACGGUCGACUAUGGUUAAAAACAGAUUAGUGUAUGAGCUUAGAAAGCUAAAUGUAGCUAAACAUUUGACCGCUUAUUUUUCUAGUUUUUCUUCGCAACAAUCAUAAAUAAAUCGGUGAGAUAUACAUAAACGAUAAACUAGCCACAAAAUUUAGAUAUAAAAAAGUGUUUAACAAAAGAUGGUUAAGUUGCAUUUAGACAAAAUUUCGUAUUGUGCAGUUUGUGUAUUAAAAUAUAUAGUAUUAAAAAUUUAGGGUAUCAAAAUUUAUUUGAAAAGAAAUUCAAUUUCUUUCAUAAACUAGCCUUUAGACCACUGUAU